rnacentral:lncRNA from 1 species
AUGCUAAGAGGCUGUGCUAAGGGGCCGUCCUUCCCCGCCAUUUCCCGGCUGCCGCCGCUCGCGGCCACUCGCCGCCGUUCCUCGCCGUUCCUCGCCGUUCCUCGCCGGUCCUCGCCGGUCCUCCGCCGCUCCCCGCCAUUCCCCAUUGCUUGCCGCUGUCCCCCGCCGUCCCCUGCUGUUCCCCGCUGUUUCCCCGCUGCCGUCGCUCGCCUCCACUCGCCGCCAUCCCCCGUCGUCCCCCAUCGUUCCCCGCCGCUCGCCGCCGUCCCCUGUCGUCCCCCGCCAUCCUCCGUCGCUCCCCGCCGUCUCCCGUUGUCCCCCGCCGUCCUCCGCCGCUCCCCGCCGUUCCCCGUUGCUCGCCGCCGUUCCCCGUCGUUCCCCGCCGUCCCCUGCCGCUCGCCGCCGUCCCCCGCCGUUCCCCUCUGUCCCCCGUCGUCCCCUGCUGCUCGCCGCCGUCCCCCGUCGUCUCCCGUCGUCCCCCGUCGUUCCCUGCCGUCCUCCAUCGUUCCCCGCCGUUCACCGCCGUCCCCAGCCGUCCCCCGCCGCCGCCUUCCCUUGCCGUCCCCCGCCGUCCCCCAUCAUCCCCCGCCGCCGUCGUUCCCCCAUCAGGUUGCAGUUGGGCUUCAUCAUGUUCAAGGUCUUUUCCAGCCUGACCUAUUCUCUCGCCCUAUGGCCCCUUCUCCAUCGUGACAGUUUUCCUUCUGUCCUUCUUCAGCGAGGCCAUCCCCAGCUCUGCAGGUGGCCUCCUUAGGCUACACAACUUCUUGCGUGGAACUAAUUUACACUCUGCCUUACUUUAGAACUUCCUGCACCCCCAGUCUCCUGCUCACACAGCCUCAUACUCCUUGAUCUCUCUGCCUCCUUCUUGAGCUCAGUCAGCAUGCUGAGAUCACCCACUUGCCCACACCUCUCGCAGGCGGCAUCUUUCCCAUUCUGUGGGGGCGGCAGCCGCCUUACACGCUCCCUGCAGCCAGGCACCUGAACAGCUGCACUGCUGGGCUGGCGCUUGCUCUGCGUAGCCACCCUCCUUUCGCCAACAGCUUCCUGCCUCCUGGACACCAUGGCUAGCUUUGCUGUCCGGGAGGCAGCUGACACCUCAGCCGCGCUCCCUGCUCAGGACCGGCGCUUCGUCCUCUCCGCUUGCCCUGCCCGCGCCAACUGAGGAGCAAGGCGAUGAGCGAACAGGCGGCCGCGCCCCAUAGGGGCUGCUUGUGGAACUGCGGGCUGUGACGCUGCUGCUGCUUGUGCCACCCGGGACACGUCCGAGCCGCUGCUGUUGCCGAACAGAAGGGGGAUGGCGCGCGGCAACGCCCUGAUGACGCCGAGUUCCUCUUGCCCUGCUGACGUCAUCGCUUCAGCCCUGAUGAAAGACAAAAGGGUCUUGCUGCUGCUUGCUCCUAGUUCUUAUGGUCUGCGGUUCUUGCGUUUUCCUUGGAGCUUUCUACAGAAUGUCAUCUCAGUGGAGCAGUGUCCUCCUUCUUCUAUUGACAUAUAUACAUGUAUAUACGUAUAUAGCCUUGAUCUUUCCAUUGCCCCCAAGGAACUAUGCACAGAGAAAUUCAGGAAGGAAUUCUGCCUCUAAAAACAAACAAACAAACAAACAAACAAGCAAACAGAGUCUUCCUAUGUUGCCCAGAGGAAGGUGCAGAACUUCUAGGACACAGUGCAUUCAGAGGUGAUUCCUUCCACUCA